rnacentral:lncRNA from 1 species
UGGAAGCCCCCUACGAAGUGGGGAAAGGGCAUUUCUGAACCUUCAGUUCCUAUUGCUGGGUCCUUUGUGACGCUUAGGCCACCCAACUCCAAUCUGAUUCUCAAAUGACACUUUCCCUCACUGGCCAUAGACCCACCACACGAAGCCAGCAACCCUCUCGUUCACACCUAUCUUGGUCAUCCAUUCCGCUCAGUCCUCUGGUCCUCAGCUACCCUCUGGUUCAGUCUCCCAUCUUAACCAGUCCUGGCACCUCCUCUCUCCUGUCAGCCAACCCCACACUCCUUCAGUACUGGUCACAGCCUCUCCAGCGGGCCUCAGUUCCAGAUCCAUCCCCCAAUUCGACACCCCUAGUCCUGGCCCUUCUCUCCCAUAUUUAUAAGUGUCCGGUCGGGGCGGGCGGUGGGCGCGGCGUCCCCGGCGCAUAUCGUAGGCAGUGUACUGUGGCCGUGCCGUCAGCGUGUGCGUGUGCGUGUGUGCCGUGUC